rnacentral:lncRNA from 1 species
ACAACGAUCCUCCUGCCUCAGCCUCCCAAGUGCUGGGAUUACAAGUGUGCGUCACCAUGCCCAGCAAUGUUUUGGUAAACUUUUAAAGCUUCUACUAUGCAAGGAAAUUAAAAGAUUGGGCAUUUUAAUUCUUACUUUAUUAUCCUUUCAAAUGUUAGUGUUGUCUCCCGUAAAUGCUAGUUCAGUUCAAGGUUGUCAUAAUAUAAUUGAGCUGUUUUAAUUACCAAGAUUUCGUUUAAAUAUUAAAGUUGCCAUUUUUGUGUUAAUACUAACAUUGCUGUCUUCCUCCUUUGUUGCAUUUGCUCACCUCAAUUAGCAGGCUUUGCAAAGGCGUAGGUUGCUGGGGUUUAAACUGAGUUCUUCCUCAGGAGUUACAGAUAAGAGUUUUGUGCUGAUCAGGUCUUAGGUCAUCCAGCCCUAUCUGCACCCAGUCCCCAUGGAUCACACUGCCUGUGGCCUCCAGGAACAAACAAAGCAGCCACCCUUUGACACAGUGAUGGUUAGGAAAGUUUUUCUUACAUGUCUGCUUUCUUAUUAUUAGAUUCCACCUUGAAGAUGUUUUCUAAAGAAUCCAAAAUGCUACAAAGAAGUAUAUCAUUUUCGAAUAUGGCUUUAUCGUCUUGUUUACUUUUACCAGGAGAUGCCACUGUCAUAAGUUCUUCUUGGGACAAUAACGUGUACGUACCUGUGAUGCCUGCUCCUUUGUGAUUCCACACAGAUGUGCUGUCAUGUUUUCCAGUUCUGUCGUUCACCUCAUAUCUCUUUGGGAUGUUUUUAUAGGGCUCAACUCAAAAUUUAAUUAAUGUAUUGUUAAUAUGCCUAUAAUUAUCAAAAGUUAUAAAAACUCCUGCAGUGCCUGGUUGAUAAGACUUAUAAUU